rnacentral:rRNA from 1 species
GACGAACGCUGGCGGCGUGCUUAACACAUGCAAGUCGAACGGAAAGGCCCUGCUUUUGUGGGGUGCUCGAGUGGCGAACGGGUGAGUAACACGUGAGUAACCUGCCCUUGACUUUGGGAUAACUUCAGGAAACUGGGGCUAAUACCGGAUAGGAGCUCCUGCUGCAUGGUGGGGGUUGGAAAGUUUCGGCGGUUGGGGAUGGACUCGCGGCUUAUCAGCUUGUUGGUGGGGUAGUGGCUUACCAAGGCUUUGACGGGUAGCCGGCCUGAGAGGGUGACCGGCCACAUUGGGACUGAGAUACGGCCCAGACUCCUACGGGAGGCAGCAGUGGGGAAUAUUGCACAAUGGGCGGAAGCCUGAUGCAGCAACGCCGCGUGCGGGAUGACGGCCUUCGGGUUGUAAACUGCUUUCGCCUGUGACGAAGCGUGAGUGACGGUAAUGGGUAAAGAAGCACCGGCUAACUACGUGCCAUCAGCCGCGGUGAUACGUAGGGUGCGAGCGUUGUCCGGAUUUAUUGGGCGUAAAGGGCUCGUAGGUGGUUGAUCGCGUCGGAAGUGUAAUCUUGGGGCUUAACCCUGAGCGUGCUUUCGAUACGGGUUGACUUGAGGAAGGUAGGGGAGAAUGGAAUUCCUGGUGGAGCGGUGGAAUGCGCAGAUAUCAGGAGGAACACCAGUGGCGAAGGCGGUUCUCUGGGCCUUUCCUGACGCUGAGGAGCGAAAGCGUGGGGAGCGAACAGGCUUAGAUACCCUGGUAGUCCACGCUGUAAACGGUGGGUACUAGGUGUGGGGUCCAUUCCACGGGUUCCGUGCCGUAGCUAACGCUUUAAGUACCCCGCCUGGGGAGUACGGCCGCAAGGCUAAAACUCAAAGGAAUUGACGGGGCCCCGCACAAGCGGCGGAGCAUGCGGAUUAAUUCGAUGCAACGCGUAGAACCUUACCUGGGUUUGACAUGGAUCGGGAGCGCUCAGAGAUGGGUGUGCCUCUUUUGGGGUCGGUUCACAGGUGGUGCAUGGCUGUCGUCAGCUCGUGUCGUGAGAUGUUGGGUUAAGUCCCGCAACGAGCGCAACCCUUGUUCACUGUUGCCAGCACGUUAUGGUGGGGACUCAGUGGAGACCGCCGGGGUCAACUCGGAGGAAGGUGGGGAUGACGUCAAGUCAUCAUGCCCCUUAUGUCCAGGGCUUCACGCAUGCUACAAUGGCUGGUACAGAGAGUGGCGAGCCUGUGAGGGUGAGCGAAUCUCGGAAAGCCGGUCUCAGUUCGGAUUGGGGUCUGCAACUCGACCUCAUGAAGUCGGAGUCGCUAGUAAUCGCAGAUCAGCAACGCUGCGGUGAAUACGUUCCCGGGGCU